ACGAACGCUGGCGGCGUGCUUAACACAUGCACGUCGAACGGAAAGGCCCUGCUUUUGUGGGGUGCUCGAGUGGCGAACGGGUGAGUAACACGUGAGUAACCUGCCCUUGACUUUGGGAUAACUUCAGGAAACUGGGGCUAAUACCGGAUAGGAGCUCCUGCUGCAUGGUGGGGGUUGGAAAGUUUCGGCGGUUGGGGAUGGACUCGCGGCUUAUCAGCUUGUUGGUGGGGUAGUGGCUUACCAAGGCUUUGACGGGUAGCCGGCCUGAGAGGGUGACCGGCCACAUUGGGACUAAGAUACGGCCCAGACUCCUACGGGAGGCAGCAGUGGGGAAUAUUGCACAAUGGGCGGAAGCCUGAUGCAGCAACGCCGCGUGCGGGAUGACGGCCUUCGGGUUGUAAACCGCUUUCGCCUGUGACGAAGCGUGAGUGACGGUAAUGGGUAAAGAAGCACCGGCUAACUACGUG
rnacentral:rRNA from 1 species